CCUACGGGAGGCAGCAGUGGGGAAUAUUGCACAAUGGGGGAAACCCUGAUGCAGCGACGCCGCGUGAAGGAAGAAGUAUUUCGGUAUGUAAACUUCUAUCAGCAGGGAAGAAAAUGACGGUACCUGACUAAGAAGCCCCGGCUAACUACGUGCCAGCAGCCGCGGUAAUACGUAGGGGGCAAGCGUUAUCCGGAUUUACUGGGUGUAAAGGGAGCGUAGGCGGUUUAGCAAGUCAGAAGUGAAAGCCCGGGGCUCAACCCCGGGACUGCUUUUGAAACUGGUGAACUAGAGUGCAGGAGAGGUAAGUGGAAUUCCUAGUGUAGCGGUGAAAUGCGUAGAUAUUAGGAGGAACACCAGUGGCGAAGGCGGCUUACUGGACUGUAAAUGACGCUGAGGCUCGAAAGCGUGGGGAGCAAACAGGAUUAGAUACCCGGGUAGUC
rnacentral:rRNA from 1 species